rnacentral:misc_RNA from 1 species
AUUUGAGCCUCAUUUUAAGCUCAAUUUUCAUUUGUUAUUAACAUAUACUUUUCCCACUUUCGAAAAAAACAAGAAACAAAGGAGCAACAAAUACUAUUUUUUGUGAAAGUUUCAUUAAAGAACACAUAAAAGAUGGCAGAAGGUGAGGAUAUUCAGCCUCUUGUCUGUGACAAUGGAACAGGAAUGGUUAAGGCUGGAUUUGCUGGAGAUGAU